UAGGGGGGGGGAAGACCAACAGGGAUUGCCCCAGUAACGGCGAGUGAAGCGGCAACAGCUCAAAUUUGAAAUCUGGCUCCUAGAGCCCGAGUUGUAAUUUGUAGAGGAUGCUUUUGAUGCGGUGCCUUCCGAGUUCCCUGGAACGGGACGCCAUAGAGGGUGAGAGCCCCGUCUGGUCGGAUGCCAAAUCUCUGUAAAGCUCCUUCGACGAGUCGAGUAGUUUGGGAAUGCUGCUCAAAAUGGGAGGUAUAUGUCUUCUAAAGCUAAAUAUUGGCCAGAGACCGAUAGCGCACAAGUAGAGUGAUCGAAAGAUGAAAAGCACUUUGAAAAGAGGGUUAAAUAGUACGUGAAAUUGUUGAAAGGGAAGCGCCUAUGACCAGACUUGGGCCCGGUGAAUCAUCCAGCGUUCUCGCUGGUGCACUUUGCCGGGCACAGGCCAGCAUCAGUUUGUCUUGGGGGAAAAAGGCUUUGGGAACGUGGCUCCUUCGGGAGUGUUAUAGACCAUUGCAUAAUACCCUGGGACGGACUGAGGUUCGCGCAUCUGCAAGGAUGCUGGCGUAAUGGUCAUCAGCGACCCGUCUUGAAACACGGACCAAGGAGUCGUCUUCGUAUGCGAGUGUUCGGGUGUAAAACCCCUACGCGUAAUGAAAGUGAACGCAGGUGAGAGCUUCGGCGCAUCAUCGACCGAUCCUGAUGUUCUCGGAUGGAUUUGAGUAAGAGCAUACGGGGCCGGACCCGAAAGAAGGUGAACUAUUCCUGUAUAGGGUGAAGCCAGAGGAAACUCUGGUGGAGGCUCGCAGCGGUUCUGACGUGCGAAUCGAUCGUCAAAUAUGGGAAUGGGGGCGAAAGACUAAUCGAACCUUCUAGUAGCUGGUUUCCGCGUUUUUCUCUCUCUCUUGGAGAAA
rnacentral:rRNA from 1 species